UACGUAGGUGGCAAGCGUUGUCCGGAAUUAUUGGGCGUAAAGCGCGCGCAGGCGGUCCUUUAAGUCUGAUGUGAAAUCUCGCGGCUCAACCGCGAGCGGCCAUUGGAAACUGGGGGACUUGAGUGCAGAAGAGGAAAGCGGAAUUCCACGUGUAGCGGUGAAAUGCGUAGAGAUGUGGAGGAACACCAGUGGCGAAGGCGGCUUUCUGGUCUGUAACUGACGCUGAGGCGCGAAAGCGUGGGGAG
rnacentral:rRNA from 1 species